rnacentral:rRNA from 1 species
GAUGAACGCUGGCGGCGUGCCUAAUACAUGCAAGUCGAGCGAACGGACGAGAAUUUUGCUUCUCUGAUGUUAGCGACGGACGGGUGAGUAACACGUGGAUUACCUACCUCUACGACUUGGAUAACUUCGGGAAACCGGAGUUAAUACCGGAUAAUAUUUUUAACCGCAUGGUUCAAAAGUGAAAUCCGUUCUUGCUGUCACUUAUAGCUGGAUCCGCGCUGCAUUAGCUAGUUGGUAAGGUAACGGCUUACCAAGGCAACGAUGCAUAGCCGACCUGAGAGCGUGAUCGGCCACACUGGAACUGAGACACGGUCCUGACUCCUACGGGAGGCAGCAGUAGCGAAUCUUGCGCGAUGGGCGAAAGCCUGACGGAGCAGCGCCGCGUGAGUGAUGAAGGUCUGCGGAUCGUAAAACUCUGUUAUUAGGGAAGAACAUAUGUGUAAGGAACUGUGCACAUCUUGACGGUACCUAAUCAGAAAGCCACGGCUAACUACGUG